UAACAUAUUUACAUCCAAAAUAAAAUGUGAUUAACGGCAGUAAAUGGGUUUAAAAUAAUUAUUAACUACACAAACACGCGCAAGCUGUGUAUAUAAAGCAUUAAAAAUCUAAACGUUCAUUCUCCAACUGCACUCCUUGUCUCUAGCUCGCCGAUCUUACCUGUUGCUCCACUUCAGCAAUUCAAACUAUAGCUACGUGAAGUAAAAAUGAAGAUAUUCUGUUGGUACUUUACCUUCGCUCUCGUGGUUUUGACACCAGCACUGGGAUCGCCGCCGUUGUUGGCACAACCAGACCAGAAAGUUCCGUCUAUUGUGGAUGCAGACACGAUCAUCGAUACCCCAAUACGCUCCUGCCCUGUAGGACAAAACUUUGACAUUUUUAACAAAUGCAGGGAGGAAUUUCCCGAGAAACCUAUGGAAAUCCUGUGAAUAAACCUAAGAAUCAUAGCUGAACUGCUGAGGAAUGCUGAUGAGAAAUCCCACGUCAGCGCUGAACCGCUUACUACCCGCCACCGUGCUGAUUCCUGACAUCGGAUUCUACAAUACCACUCCAAUCAUCCUAUUGACUAUAUUUACUGUAAUAAACUACACCUAACAAUAAAUCAAUUUUAUCUUUUGAA